rnacentral:lncRNA from 1 species
GGGACAGGGACGCUGCUGCCCUGGUGCAGCAAGCAGGGCUCCUCUGCAUCCUCCCACCCCUCUUAUUUCCCCGCACCUCCCCGACUGAAGCCAACCUCCAGCGCUGCUAAUCCAUCCCAUGGCAGCAUCCCGCUGCUCGCACCUGUGGGGCACGCCGGCCAGCUGGUGUUAAUUGCUGAAAGUUGCUUUCUGAAGGCAGCCCUCCUUGCACAGCAUCCCGCAUCCUAUCCUGCUAAGGAAGGUGCGUUCCCUCUGCAGGAGCCGGCUGGAGCAGGAGCGCAGGAGAUCGGUGGGGAUGCCGGAGCGCAGCAGUGGGUUGGCACCGGCAGCCCCAUGGAGUUUGAGCCGGGCACGGCGGGCUUCUUCCCCCCCGAGGAAAUAUCUCAGAUACAGCCAGUUCCACCACAGCCAUACAGAUCCAGGACCUGUUGGGGAAGCGCCGGGAAGGUUGGGAAAUCCUGCCUAGUGGCCAGGGCUCCAGGAUGCCCAUCCAUGGUGAAGUCAGAGCGCCCAGGGCUCAAACAUCCUAGAACACAUCAGAAAUCUACCAGCAUCACAGUGCUGAGCCAAAGCGUCCCGGCAGUGCGCAAUGAGCAGUGGGGAAACGUGGUGGUUAAAGACAGCCUCCCAAGAGCCUGGCGGGAUUGACGAGAGGUGGGGGAUCUUUUAUUAUCAUUAUUGUUGUUUUCUGAUUAAUUAUUUUUGUCCUUCUAUCAGUAUUUAUCUUUUUAUGGAGUGAAAAGCACUUUAUAGGCUUUUGAAGAGUUGAGAAAAGGAGGUAGAUGAAGGGGAAUAGCAAUAUCUUGGAGACGAUGGGUUGACGGUUGGAGUGGAUGGUCAUAGCUGUCUCUUCCAACUUGAUUGUUCUACUAUCUUCAGAAGUAAGCCCUCCUUGACUCUGAACAGCUUAAAAACAAAACAAGACAAGACACAAACAAACAGGGAAGUGCAGCUGCCUCUGCAGAAACAAGCCCUGCUCUCGCCUCACCACCGUGACUCAUGGCCAGAACCCAAUUCCCAGCAAAAGGAGGUGUGCUAAUCCUGAACGAGCUGCUUGGGUGCUGCAUUCAGGGAGCAGAUAACAGAGAGGUGUACAUAGACACAGACCUGCAUGCUUGGCUUCUUGUUUAUGCCAUCCUCUGCUGCUGAACUCCAGGAGCCCCACGAUCACCUUGUGGCUGCUCCUUUUGUGCAGAGAGCCCCAUACAAGUGAGUGCAGCAAAAUAAUUGUUCCAAACCACAGCUGAUGCUAUCAGUUAUCUGCCAGCUAUUAUCUGUGGUGAAAUAAAGGCAAAGUGAGCAAUCACUUGGGUAGAUAGCUCAGGGCAAGGAGCCAUCCCAUUCCCUUGUGCUCUUUCACCAUCACCAGCUCCAAAGCGGAUCUGGCCAUAAAACAUUGGGGCUCAGAAUUGGGGACAGAAAAAGGAGGGAGGGCCAAGGCAAGGGAAAGCGGCAUGGUGGCAUCAAUGAGCAGACAGUGAGGAUGAAUACAAAAUAAAAUAAAUAAAAACCCUCCCAGAACUCAAGUAACUCACUAAGGAAGCCUUAACAGCCCAAGAAAAGAAGAAGAAAAAAAAAAAAAGAAUGAAAAAGCAAGCCCUGUAAAGCCCUACUGAAUUAAAUAUAUGAACAGAUAAAUGCCUUGCUCUUCUCACCUGCGGGCACCUAAAAUCACCAACAAUCUCCCAGCAGAGGGUGGAUGCAGAAGCCCCCAAAGAAAGCACCACUCGUGACAAGUAGUCAAAUAGUUGAAGGUUUUAUUCAUAUAAAACUCAUAUUAAGAACAUAAAAGAUUGCAUCUUAAAAAAAAAAAAGAUCUGCAAUUAUUUACAGCAGUAUUGCACAAGUAAAGUGGCAAUUACCCUGUCCAAAAUUCAUCAGUGCAAAACACAAGUAAGCCAGGGAAAUUGCAAUAAAAAUGCUACAUAUGCUGGGUCCUAUGAAACGAGUUAGUGAUUAACUGGGACAUCAGUGUGCACUCCGGUUGUACCUGAUGCUACAGCUGGUCCGGGGUCUUGGCUGAGAUGGAGGAGAAUGUGGUUUUAAAGAAGAGAGGACCAAAACUGUGGUGGAGAAGCCAAACUUCCCCUGACUCUCCCUAAUGCUGCAGUCUCGGAGAUGCCUAUAUCCCUAUGGGAGUGCAGGGCUUAGGCACUUCAAUCAUCUCCACACCGUGUUGGCUGUGCUGAAUCCACCGGGCAGUGCUGGAAGGUCCAUCGCUCACAUGGUCCAUCCACACCGCAGACCUGGGGCAGGAGGAGAGAGGGGCAGACAGAACCUUGACAGGAAUUUAAAUAAGCAGGAAAUAAAUAGACAUCGUUUCUACAAGUUACAGCAUGACAGAACAGUAGAGUGCAUUGAUUACAGAGGGGCAGGGGGAAAAAAUAAUAAAGGGGGGAGGGAAGGAAAUCUACAGUAUUUACCAAGUUUAACUCUAAAAAAUGUUUAGGAAAAAAACAGGAUUUUUUGAUUACUUAUAAGCUGUACAAAACUUACAUGAGAGAAUGGAAAGAGAAUACAUUGCACGCAGAUAUUUGGCUCAGAUGAUGAAAAUAAUACGGUGUCCUAUUCUAAUAAAUAGUCAGGUAUUUACAGUUACCAACUGAGAAGCAUAACGUGUGGCGUGAGACCAUCCACCACCCCGGGGCUCUCUGCAACCACAGAACUUCAUGGAAUCGUUUUGGCAGAACAGAGAGCACAGGUGAUGUGGGCUUAAAACGACCCAAAUCCAUUGGGUAACACUGCUGAAGUGAUUUUAACUGCUGAUUUAAAACCAUCAUUCUUCCUUAUGGGGACAUAUAAAAGAAAAAAUAAAAAAAAAUAAACAAUUCUCACAGCCCUACAGGGAUGAAACCUGUUGGUUUUUUUUUUUUGUUUGUUUGUUUGUUUUUUUUUUGGAGCUACAUUUUCCUCUGUCUGCCUUCUGGCUGGGAAGGCUGGAUAUGGAGCAGCCCAAGCCAGAUGGUGCCAAUCCCUUGCGUUCUUCCCCUUAUUUUUUGCCUCCGCAGCACAGAGCCAGGAGGACAGGGUAAAGUGCUGGGUGCUGGCCACCACUCUUUGGUGUGCUCCAUUGGACGCAGGACCAGAAAAGCUAAACUUGCUCCACUCUCCUUCCAAUGAGUGCAAUCAGGGGCACCGCAGCCCCACGCCAACAGGUCAUUGCCUCCCAGCUGGUGCAAAGAGGUCAGACUGUACACAGCUCUUCUAACACAGGAACACUGAUCUUCACACAGUGGCACGCAGAACAGUUUCUCCUGACGUGCAUAUUGCAAUGCGGUAGGAAAAACCGCUAUCGUAGGGCCGGGUUUGCUUCUUCUUCUAUGAUGCUGGUGAAACCAGAAAUAACUGCAGCAUUUGAAAGGUGAUUUUAGGACCAUCCACACCAGCUGGAGGAAAGGGGACAGUUUUGAAGGUGAGAGGAGUAUGUUCGUGCAUAGAAACGCAGGCGGUCGAGGCAAUGACGCGCCCCAAAAAGCACCUGCUGUGCAGAAGCCUCCUGUGUGAGAUGAACCAGAGAUGAUGGCAAGGCCUCCAUUGGCCAGGACACACACCCAAAUGUUGACCUCCUCGAGCCACGUGGCAGGGUCUCCAGAUGGGAGGAGAAACAGGGCAUCAUCCUGGGGCGUCAAACACCUGCUGAGGUCUUCCCAGGCAGGAGGAGAUGUGCCACAAGGAGAAGAUCGGCCCAAGGCGAGCAGGGUGCAGACCCCACGCUCCACGAUGAGUUGAUACCAUCUGAACAGCAUGCACAAGCAAGUCUGCGUCCUUCAGCGCUGCACGGCCCCUCAUUCAGCUGGAUCCCAUCAAAGGAACCUUCGGGGUCUUCAUCCCCUCACUCCUUGCCCGCAGACGGUGGACUCCUCCCAUCACGCUGGUCCAGUUCAAACAGAGGAUCCCAGAAAACAUCCAGUGUGCCAAAAACCCUCUUGGGUUUAACAGCAACACGCUAGCCAUGCCUUAGAACAGCUCCUGGAGUCGCACAGCAAGACCUGUCACUGGGUGCAAAACUGCAGUGGUUUGGGAACUGUUUCAACCUGCCUCCACAGACAUCUUAUUGCUGAAUUACUCAGUCACCGAUAUUAUAUAUUAUAAUAUUAUACAAUACAUAAGCAUUUUCACACAUCUUAUAGAAAGAAUUUCUAAAAAGGCAACCUGGUGGAUUGUUUUUUGUUUGGUUGGUUGGUUGUGAUAUUUUGGACCCUGGGAAUCUGACAGCUAAGUCUUGAAAUUCAGAAUUUAAAAUAAAAAUUGGGAAAAAAAAACAAACAGUCAGCAGGAAAUAGGCUAUUUGCAUGACGCAAACGAAGUUGGAUUUGGGUAGCAUUAGGUAUUUACACGUAAAACAAGUGCUGAUUAAAAUCCCUCUGCCCUUCUUCCAUCCUCAUCCUCUUUGGCGGGCAGGAGGCGGCAGCGCAGCGGCCGGGGCGUGUCGGACGCUCCCUGCAACACCUGCAGCACAAAUAAGGCAGCUCUGCAGAUCAGCUGGAUCUGGAGGGUCUUGGGGCGUAUCCAAGACGAGCCAACAGAUUUCCAGAAGCGAUGACCAAACAUCGUCACUGAGGACUUUUCUCUGAGACAAUUAAAAAACAAUAAUUAAAAAUGGAGAGAAACACAGUAAACACCACUCUCAGAUAAAAUCGAGCUUCGGAGCAUCCCGGCAGGUCCACGUGGGAAAUCCACCCUCCUCCAGCCACUGCAUGCCCAGGCCAGGGGGGCAGCUUAGAAGCUCCAAGCUCCAGCAUCAGCUCUUCUCCAUUGGUUUCUGGAAGAAGCCAUUGAGUCCCAGCAGCCCGCACAGCCGGCGUCACUGCAUCCUCCAGAUGAGGCGGAUGAUGUAAUGCAGGAGGCGCAGAAUGACAACCUGGGGGUUUCCAGCACGGUUAUCCAAGAAACCCUAGGAGGGAAACGGGGCGGAAAGUAAGGAAGUGACUUGAAUUCCCAGCUACCGUGAGUUGAACAACUCCUGCACGUGAGGAAGAAGGUGGCCCUGGCACCUUCCUCACUGCAACUCCGAGCUUUCUCCCUACUGCUGCCACUAUGAGGAAAGGUCUACAUUUACCUACUGAGCUUGCUUCAAGGAGUUCAAGACAGAUAAGACCACAAAGUUUGCCCCAGGGGGUGGCCAAAAUGCACUGAUUCUAGUUAUUUGCCACUGCCAAGGGGAUGCAGAGGGAAAAAGCACAAAAACAAAAUCAAGAGAACUCAACAACAUCAAGCGCCUCAGUACUGGACGAGCCACCGCUGGCAUCCCAGCCAGCACCAAACCAAAACUGCUGCAAGAUGAGCAGUUCCCUGUCCCCAGCCUCAGGGAUUAGUAUUUCCCCCCAGCACAUUCAUAAAAUGGGCUCAAUUCAAGUUCACUGAAGCCAACUCAAGAUUUCUUCUGAGCAGGAGAUAAUCCAACACAAAUAGGGCAAAUACCCCAAUGCCUUCAAGCAAGGCUGAGCACACAGUUCUCAGCUCUUGCUAACACUGGAAACUGUGAGAUUUCACAAACUAGAAAUCACGCAUUUUAUGGUUUUACCAAGAAGUAAACCCAGCCUCCUUUCAUGUUGGCUUUCGAUGAAAAGCUUUAUAGUCCUCAGUGGGCCAAAGCUGCCUCCUCCCUGCCACAUCUGCUGUGAAUGCUCAGACAGGACAUCACGCCGACUCCCUCACCUGGGUGUGGGAUGCACAUAACGCUGCUUGAGGCCGCAAUGUGGAAGCAAGCAGUAAGCCCUGCUAGGAGAAGCUGGGACGUAAUAACAAUAAUACAAAACCCAACUAGAAAUGAAGACCCCACAGUAGGAAGAGCAGUGGCAGGAGAGGCAGGUUCCCACUGAUGGUGGUGGCCAUGGCUUCAGCUCUGAUGGCUCAGGGUGCAGCCACUGCAGCAGAGCACUCCUUUGAGCACAGGAUCAGUAUUUCACAGCAACAUUCAAAGAGCAUUUACUUUUGGGUCCUUUUUCCCUCCCCAGCCCCAGCAGCAAAACAGAAGUCCCAGCACCACCACCUCUAGUUUCCCACGCUGUCAGAGCAUGGUGCAGUUUGGGCUAUAUUUAGUGCUGCAGAACCAUGUCUGUACAUGCCCUGCAGGGAGAAAUCAUGCUGCUAACACCGAUAUGCAAACUCCUCUCGCAGGCACAGGGGCACACAGAGCGCACUGUCCCCCCCAGAGGAUGCUCAAGCAUUCCACAGCCAGGUGGAGAAGGGUGAGCAGCACAUUUUCAGCUCACCAUGCAUCCGCUGUGCGUGGAGCUGGGUUUCCAGGCAGGAGAGCACAGCAGCCACUCCCGCUUGCUCAACCUCUUUGUCAAGGGGGAUUGAUGCUGAAUUACCCAAUUCCCUGUGUUGUUUUUGCCCUGGGGAGCUUUUAAGGGGAGACAGAACACAGCCAGGCUGCUUUUGGGGACCCCAUGCUGGCGUCCCAGCCAGGCCCUUGUCCCCAGGGCCUCCAGCUGGGCACACUGGGGCAGAGGAGCAGUGCCGACCCGUCCGACAGCCCCGACCUGUCUGGCAAGCACCGUUUUGGCACUGCUGAUCUCCCCAUUUCCACCCGUGCUCAAAGGGCAAACCCAAAUGAACCCGCUGCGAAUGGAGGGUGAUGGCAACAAGGGCUGCCAGCAAAACCUCAUGUUUACCCCCUUCCCUGGUGCUGUGCUGCCAAUUCAGCUCUGCAAGCAUGAGCUUCUUUAGCAGCAAGCUACUCACAGAAGGAAAAGGCAACUUUUCAGGGAGCAAUAGCCAAGCACACUGGGGACAAUAAAUCCACAGCAAUUACUUAAAUGCUCUGAAAGCCGUUUGGUUCUGGAUGCAACAGACAAGAGGAAUUCAUCAGACUAAUUAAGCCUGCGGGAAGCGAUACUACUUUGCCCUUACACUCUCCAACAAGCCCUGCUGCAACCCUCACCCACGUGCACAGCAGGGAAGGAAAACAAGAGCAAAUCCACAAGGGAAGCUGCUGACUCCAGAGCAGGGGAAAAACUCAUGAACUCAAAAAGAAUGAGCUGGUAAGAGAGCAGAAGCAAGAGUGCCUGUGGGGCAGCACCAGGACAGGCACCCAUUCUGGGGAGAGCUUCUGCCGUGCAGACUCUGGACACAGUGAGGAAGUGACUCAUGAGCUGGGGGGAUGAAUAAAGAUGUGGGCAGUCAGCACAUCAUCACCAACAUCUCCUGCCUCCUCUUCCCACAGGUAAGCCAAGGGAAGGGGAGAUGGACUAGAAACCACAUGUACAAACAUGCAGUUAUGAACAAUGGAUGGGAGGCAAGUUAUCAGCUAUCACUGCUCUUCUGAUAAUUGCUGUUACUUCAUCUCUUUGUGUGUGUCAGUACCACUCAUUUUUGUUGCGCCACUUCAAGGUGAGACUUUACAGCCUUACAGAUCUAGUGGGCACAGUGGUGAUGGGUCAGUGGUUGGCCUGGAUGAUCCAAAUGGUCUCCUCCAACCUUAGUGAUUCUGUGAAACACACAAUUUUUAGAAGAGCUUUUGCUCUUUCUAGCUUCUAGGAGAAAUAAGCUACCAGAGCAGGUUCAUCCCUGUUGCUAUACUUUGAUACCGGUGACCCUUCAUAGCAGCAACUCCCUUACAACGGUGGUGCUGGUACCCAAGAGCUGCCAGCCAUUCAGCACGGCGCCUUCCAAUGCCACUCCAACAACACACAGCUACACCUGAGCUCUGCUUGCCUUACGUGGUUCCCUCCUUAUCACCAGUUCAGUGCUAACCCAGAGACAGAUGGUGCUUUGCAGUACCAUGAAUGAAGCCACGAUACCCGAAAAUCUCCGGUCCCAACUCGAAAGGUGAUGCUGAGUAUAUUUAAUGACGCGGCGGCAGCAGACGACAGCCACCCGCGCAUCCUUUUCUACAUUUGAGUGAGCAAAACACUUGCCACAGAGCUAGUUUCCAGAUAUGAUUAAGCUUUUCCCUUUUAGAGACUGUGCGUAAAGAAAUGGAAAGUAAAAAUAAGAAAAUUACCCUUCUUGGACAAUAGGAGGCAUUGAAUUCAUCCCCGAUGCGCCGCAGCUCCUGUGCAAUCCAUAUUUCUGGUUGUAUUUCUUCUGCAAGCGAGUGAGAUCGCCACCUGGAAGCUGCACAGAGCAAAAACAGAGCGUUGGAAACAGGAACGACUCAAAAAGCAAAUGCUCCAUUAAACCUGGGAAGAACGCAUCUGAGACUCGCUGUGUGAUGCGUGCACUGCAGGCUUGUACCAGUAGUGGUUCUGUGUUAUUAUUAGGCUUUUUUUCGUUAUUAUAUCAGCAGCUUCUUCCGUAGCAAAAUCUUACUUUCCCCUUUUCUAAACGUAAUGAUUUCUCACAGCGCAAAGUAGCAACUCCGUCUCUAACCUUAAAAAACCUCAGUCCUCAUAAUCUGAUCUAAUUCUCACAUUUCUUCCCCCAGCAGCGGAGGCAUCCAACGAGACAAGGAGCGCGGCUGUUUCUGCUGCACUAAGAAGAAAGCCACAAUUGGACACAGUGCACUCAGAGCAAACUUGAGGACUUUUCAUCCCCACGAUGGGGCUGGAAGGUUCUGCUCUUCAAUAUUAUGUUCCAGCACUUCAGCAGAAAGUAAACCAGGCACAAGAAAACAGCACUGGCUUAUAAAGGAGGAAAAAAAAAAAAAAAAGAGCUAACGUAUCACUUAUGCUGAAUAUACAGCACCAAGCCCUUCAGUCUCCAUUUUAAGUUCCUGAGCACAUGAUAAAAACCACGGGUACAAGCCACCAAAUAUUGGAGGGGAAAUGAGCAACCCCCGGUGCAGCACCUGUGCCCCCCUCCUGCCAAGGAAAGCUCAGAUUUGAGCAAGAAACACAGCCUAAACAUUAAAAAAAAAAGGUAAUAAAAAAAAUAGGAAACAAAACAACACACACACACCCCUCAAGAAAAAAAAAAACAGCACACAAAACAAAACAGAGCAUUUCACAAACUUGGCACCCAAGCUCCAAAGGACUCGUGAGGGAAUACAAAUAGCUUCCAAUCUCUAAAUAUUCAAAGGAUUAGUAGGGCAGUAAGAAAAUAAAUAAAUAAAAAAUAUUAAAUAAGGAGUCUGGCUCCGACCCGACUGGAAAAUGUCUUUCUGAGCCAAGCUGACACAGCUUGGCUCGGGGAGCUGUUUUGUUUUCACACUGUAGUAGCGCAGGAGCGGUGCCCGCUGCCUUCCCGGGACAGCCCCGCGCUGUUUCUUCCCCUGGUCACUGAAUGAACUGCAGCACGAGAGCAGAGCCCACGCGGGAGCCCAACAGCACCACGCGGGACACGACACGGCCACGACCCGCAGCACGGCCCGCCCGCCGGGACGCGUGGCUGAGAGUGAAAUCGGGCUGAGGUUUUCAGAAAGGACUUUCUGCGGCGCUGCCGGAUCGCAAUAUCAAAAGCGUCCAGUCAUAAUGGCAGAGAGGUAGAGGAACUCUCCGAGCGUGGCCACAGUCAUAGCGGGAGCCGGUGCUGCCCCAGGGCAGGCAGCCCCCCUCUGUGUGAGCCACGGAUGGGCGCUCUGCACGCCUCCAGGCUGCCCCAACGCUGGGACUGCGGCCGCCAGACGGCUGUAAUGAGUAAUUCAGGCUGCUGGGGAUGGGGCCAUCAAUAGAGCGGGACCGUAGGUGGUGGGUGCCCCACCCUUGGGGACACGUGAGGUCUGAGCAUCUCUGCUCGCUGCAGGGCAGUUGGACCUGGUGGCCUUGAUGGUCCCUUCCAACCUCCUCUAAUUGUGCCAAAGCGAAGUCUGUAGCCCGAAGCCCAGGAGGUGUCUGCCAAGUUUCACUGCCCAAUGUCACCCAGGGAGCAGGAGCUGCCACCUCCACCCAGCACCCACACCCAGGCGCAGCCCUGAGAAACAGCGUGGCACAGGGAUGAUGCAUGGCCCAGCAAAGCAACGCAGCCGUGCCCACACUCACAGGUGGAAACCAAACCACCUUCCAGGCUUUGUAACGCAAAUCCCCUCCAACACAACCACAGGCCAGGCAGGCAGAGAGGAGCACCCAGCCCGCACCACACCAACACACACACCUCCACCUUCUCGCUUCAAGGCUUUCCCUGCUGCACCCAGAGGAUUUCCCCCUUUUCCAUGCAAGGCUGAGACGAAACCGCUCCUUUCCCCUCCGUGCCUCACCCGAAACCAGCAAGGACUUAAGAGCAGCGGGGCCGUGCAGCUCACAAACACGUAUGCACGCACGCACACACACAAACAGCCGCCUCCCCCGACUCGCUGCCGGGUGAUGGAAGCGCACACUGCGCAGGAGAGCACAGCGACGUCCCGCAGGCACGGGGAGCGCUCACCCGCAGGGCGCUGCCUGCCCCGCGCAAGCAAACCCACGGGUCGGCUCCCACCGAGAGCCAAACAUCCGCCGGAGAUUCCUCGGGCAGCAGCAGACAGCUGCCUGCGGGGCUCGGGUGACAUUCUUCGGGCACUCCCACGGGCAGGCCGCCCCCAAGCACGGCACGGCGCGGCUUUCCGUGCCCGCAAAGCGCAGCGCGCCCCAGGCGGAGCGGCGGGCGCCGUCCGGGCGGUGCCACGCGAGCGCUCGUUGUGAAACUCGCAGCAAGCCGUAAGGACGGCGGUAAGGUCAGAAAACCUUUCCUAGGGGCACGUCGCAGUCAGCGCUGCAGCUGUAACCACAGACCUUCACCAAGAGGGAAAAAAAAAAAAAAACAACAACCAAAGCAAACAGCACCGCGCGGCCAGACGCGCCCGGCCGGCCGCCAUCCCCGCAGCGCUACCUGCCAGCCGCCGCCCGCCCCGCGCCGCCCCGCCCGGCACUCACCCAUGGCGCUCAGGUAGUGGCUGACGGCCUGGCACGGCGGGCUGGGGGUCUGCGUGGCCUUAUCGCAGCUCAUGGGCGCGGGGCUGCGCUCGGCCUCGAAGGAGAAGUACCCGCUGGAGGAGCGCGGCAGCAGCGGGGACCUCCGCACGAAGAAGAAGAGCGGCGAGCGGAUGGCGAACGGGCCGGGGCUGCCGGGCGAGGCGGGCCGGGCGGCGCCGGGCAGCGCGGCGGGGGCUCCGGGCCGCAG